rnacentral:rRNA from 1 species
CAACUUGAGAGUUUGAUCCUGGCUCAGAACGAACGCUGGCGGCAUGCCUAACACAUGCAAGUCGAACGAUGGCUUCGGCCAUAGUGGCGCACGGGUGAGUAACGCGUGGGAACCUGCCCAGCAGUGGGGGAUAACUUCGGGAAACCGGGGCUAAUACCGCAUACGCCCUUAGGGGGAAAGAUUUAUCGCUGUUGGAGGGGCCCGCGUCCGAUUAGUUUGUUGGUGGGGUAAUGGCCUACCAAGACUACGAUCGGUAGCUGGUCUGAGAGGAUGAUCAGCCACACUGGGACUGAGACACGGCCCAGACUCCUACGGGAGGCAGCAGUGGGGAA